CCUACGGGAGGCAGCAGUGGGGAAUAUUGGACAAUGGGCGAAAGCCUGAUCCAGCCAUGCCGCGUGUGUGAAGAAGGCCUUCGGGUUGUAAAGCACUUUCAGUGGGGAAGAAAGCCUUGGGGCUAAUACCCUCGAGGAAGGACAUCACCCACAGAAGAAGCACCGGCUAACUCCGUGCCAGCAGCCGCGGUAAUACGGAGGGUGCGAGCGUUAAUCGGAAUUACUGGGCGUAAAGCGCGCGUAGGCGGUCUGAUAAGCCGGUUGUGAAAGCCCCGGGCUCAACCUGGGAACGGCAUCCGGAACUGUCAGGCUAGAGUGCAGGAGAGGAAGGUAGAAUUCCCGGUGUAGCGGUGAAAUGCGUAGAGAUCGGGAGGAAUACCAGCGGCGAAGGCGGCCUUCUGGACUGACACUGACGCUGAGGUGCGAAAGCGUGGGUAGCAAACAGGAUUAGAUACCCUGGUAGUC
rnacentral:rRNA from 1 species